GGCUGUGGGUUCGGCCUAAGAUCCUUGGAACAGGACGUCAUAGAGGGUGAGAAUCCCGUAUGUGGCCCGAGGCCUGCGCCCGUGUAAAGCUCUUUCGACGAGUCGAGUUGUUUGGGAAUGCAGCUCAAAAUGGGUGGUAAAUUUCAUCUAAAGCUAAAUAUGGGCCAGAGACCGAUAGCGCACAAGUAGAGUGAUCGAAAGAUGAAAAGCACUUUGGAAAGAGAGUUAAACAGUACGUGAAAUUGUUGAAAGGGAAGCGCUUGCACCCAGACUUGGGCGCUGCUGAUCAUCCAGAGUUCUCUCUGGUGCACUCGACAGCGCACAGGCCAGCAUCGGUUCGGGUGGCUGGAGAAAGACUGGAGGAACGUAGCUCCCUUUCGGGGGAGUGUUAUAGCCUCUGGUGCCAUGCAGCCCAGCCGGACCGAGGACCGCGCCUUCGGGCUAGGAUGCUGGCGUAAUGGGUGUAAGCGACCCGUCUUGAAACACGGACCAAGGAGUCUAACAUCUAUGCGAGUGUUUGGGCGUAAAACCCAUACGCGGAAUGAAAGUGAACGUAGGUGAGAACCCUUUGGGGUGCAUCAUCGACCGAUCCUGAUGUCUUCGGAUGGAUUUGAGUAAGAGCAUAGCUGUUGGGACCCGAAAGAUGGUGAACUAUGCCUGAAUAGGGUGAAGCCAGAGGAAACUCUGGUGGAGGCUCGCAGCGGUUCUGACGUGCAAAUCGAUCGUCAAAUUUGGGUAUAGGGGCGAAAGACUAAUCGA
rnacentral:rRNA from 1 species